rnacentral:rRNA from 1 species
GAGUUUGAUCAUGGCUCAGGAUGAACGCUGGCGGCGUGCCUAAUACAUGCAAGUCGAACGAACAGAUAAGGAGCUUGCUCCUUUGACGUUAGCGGCGGACGGGUGAGUAACACGUGGGUAACCUACCUAUAAGACUGGAAUAACUCCGGGAAACCGGGGCUAAUGCCGGAUAACAUGUUGAACCGCAUGGUUCUACAGUGAAAGACGGUCUUGCUGUCACUUAUAGAUGGACCCGCGCCGUAUUAGCUAGUUGGUGGGGUAACGGCCUACCAAGGCGACGAUACGUAGCCGACCUGAGAGGGUGAUCGGCCACACUGGAACUGAGACACGGUCCAGACUCCUACGGGAGGCAGCAGUAGGGAAUCUUCCGCAAUGGGCGAAAGCCUGACGGAGCAACGCCGCGUGAGUGAUGAAGGUCUUCGGAUCGUAAAGCUCUGUUGUUAGGGAAGAACAAAUGUGUAAGUAACUGUGCAUAUCUUGACGGUACCUAACCAGAAAGCCACGGCUAACUACGUGCCAGCAGCCGAC